GUCAAAUCAGAGACAACGAAUGAAAUCAGAAAGUAUUGAAGAACAGUUUUUAGGGUUUGAUCAUCAAAAUGAAGUGGAUUCGUCACAACACCUAACUGAAUUGGGAUCCAAGCUUGGUGGCUUUGAUGUGUCUGUUGACAUUCGACUUCCUGAAGAAGAUAGCUUGAUUAUGGUCAGCGACCCCCUCAAUCUCCAGAACUUUAUGCCUGGCAGGAACUCAUCUAAAGCCUUAUUAUCCAUGCCAGAGACAGCAGUUGACAUUGCUGAAAAAUUAGCUGCUUUAAAUUCUGUAUACCCUGAUGAAAGGCCUAUUGUAGGAGGCAAAGAAGGUGCAGCCUUUUCUCGUGGUCCUUACGCUAUGAGGGAACCUGAUGUUCAGUACCCUAAAAUUCAAGCACAGCCAUCUUCUCCACAGGU
rnacentral:misc_RNA from 1 species